rnacentral:rRNA from 1 species
UGGGGAAUCUUGCGCAAUGGGCGAAAGCCUGACGCAGCGACGCCGCGUGAGUGAUGAAGGCCCUCGGGUUGUAAAGCUCUGUGGAGGGGGACGAAUAAGUCGUGGCUAACAUCCACGAUGAUGACGGUACCCCUUUAGCAAGCACCGGCUAACUCUGUGCCAGCAGCCGCGGUAAGACAGAGGGUGCAAACGUUGUUCGGAAUUACUGGGCGUAAAGCGCGUGUAGGCUGCCUUGUAAGUCAGGUGUGAAAGCCCUGGGCUCAACCCAGGAAGUGCACUUGAAACUACAAGGCUUGAGUUCUGGAGAGGAUGGCGGAAUUCUCGGUGUAGAGGUGAAAUUCGUAGAUAUCGAGAGGAACACCGGUGGCGAAGGCGGCUAUCUGGACAGUGACUGACGCUGAGACGCGAAAGCGUGGGGAGCAAACAGG